GAUGAACGCUGGCGGCGUGCCUAAUACGUGCAAGUCGAGCGAACGGACGAGAAGCUUGCUUCUCUGAUGUUAGCGGCGGACGGGUGAGUAACACGUGGAUAACCUACCUAUAAGACUGGGAUAACUUCGGGAAACCGGAGCUAAUACCGGAUAAUAUUUUGAACCGCAUGGUUCAAAAGUGAAAGACGGUCUUGCUGUCACUUAUAGAUGGAUCCGCGCUGCAUUAGCUAGUUGGUAAGGUAACGGCUUACCAAGGCAACGAUGCAUAGCCGACCUGAGAGGGUGAUCGGCCACACUGGAACUGAGACACGGUCCAGACUCCUACGGAAGGCAGCAGUAGGGAAUCUUCCGCAAAGGGCGAAAGCCUGACGGAGCAACGCCGCGUGAGUGAUGAAGGUCUUCGGAUCGUAAAACUCUGUUAUUAGGGAAGAACAUAUGUGUAAGUAACUGUGCACAUCUUGACGGUACCUAAUCAGAAAGCCACGGCUAACUACGUG
rnacentral:rRNA from 1 species